AUUGAACGCUGGCGGCAGGCCUAACACAUGCAAGUCGAACGAGUGGCGGACGGGUGAGUAAUGUUUGGGAAUCUGGCUGAUGGAGGGGGAUAACUACUGGAAACUGUAGCUAAUACCGCGUACCAUAGGAUGAGCCCAGGUGGGAUUAGGUAGUUGGUGGGGUAAAGGCUCACCAAGCCGACGAUCCCUAGCUGGUCUGAGAGGAUGACCAGCCACACUGGGACUGAGACACGGCCCAGACUCCUACGGGAGGCAGUAGUGGGGAAUAUUGCGCAAUGGGCGCAAGCCUGACGCAGCCAUGCCGCGUGAAUGAAGAAGGCCUUCGGGUUGUAAAGUUCUUUCGGUAGCGAGGCGUUAACCACAGAAGAAGCACCGGCUAACUCCGUGCCAGCCGCCGCGGUAAUUC
rnacentral:rRNA from 1 species